GGUAAAUGCACUAAAUAUACAUGUCAGUCAGAAUGUUUUAUGUUUUCAAGAAUAAAUGUGUGUGUAGUGGAUGCAGUGAGAGUAUUUGAUUAGUGAAUUUAGUGUCUGUUUAUGUGGUGGAUGCAGUGUCUGUUUGUGUAGUGGAUGCAGAGUGUUUGUAUAAUGAAUGCAGAGUGUGUGUUUGUGUAGUGUGUGUAUAGUGGAUGCAGUGUGUUUGUGUAGUGUGUGUAUAGUGGAUGCAAAGUGUGUUUGUGUAGUGUGUGUACAAUGAAUGCAAAGGGUGUUUGUGUAGUGUGUGUAUAGUGAAUGCAGUGUGUUUGUGUAGUGUGUGUAUAUAAUGAAUGCAGUGUGUGUUUGUGUAGUGUGUGUAUAGUGAAUGCAGUGAGUGUUUGUGUAGUGUGUAUAUAAUAAAUGCAGAGUGUUUGUGUAGUGUGUGU